rnacentral:rRNA from 1 species
CUUUAAGAUUAAGCCAUGCAAGUCUAAGAACAAGAAGGUUUACCUUCGAAUCUGUGGAUGGCUCAUUAUAUCAGUGUUAAUUUAUCAGAUUAACAUAGACGGAUAUCCCAGGCAAAUCUUGGACUAAUACGCACAUCAUAACAGCUCUGACUUUCUUGGAAGGAGUGUGCUUACGAGACCAAAACCAAUGCAUGAACUUGUUCUUGCUUUGAAAUUGAAGAAACGUAACUUCACUGAUCGUAGCUCGUCACUACGACAUGUCUGAUAAGACACUGACCCAUCAACUUGAUAUUUGGGUAUGGCCCAGAUAUGGUUACAACGGGUAACGGGGAAUUAGGGUUCUAUUUCCGGAGAGGCAGCCUGAGAAACGGCUACCGGUCCUAAGGGAGACAGCAGGCGCGAAAAUUACCCAAUGCAGACUCUGCGAGGUAGUGACGAUAAAUAACAAUCCGAGUAUUUUUAAUACUUGGAAUUGGAAUGAGAAAACAUUAAAUCACUUAACGAAAUCAAUUGGAGGGCAAGUCUGGUGCCAGCAGCCGCGGUAAUUCCAGCUCCAAUAGCGUAUAUUUAAAUUGCUGAAGUUAAAACGCCCGUAGUCAAAUUUGAAGGGUUAAGGUAUAUGAAGCGCACUUAAGGGUAGAAUCUAGCUAUCACACUUGCCUUCUUCACCACCCUAUAUACUAAGUCUCUUAGCUCUGGGAUGAUAAACGCCGUCAACAACUCGGUUGUACCAUCUAACUAGCACCUCUUUUCAUUAAGUUGGUGCGGCUAUUAGACGUUACCUUGAUUUAAUCAAAGCGUUCAAAGCAGGCAAUGACAGCCCGAAUGUAUCUAAGCAUGGAAUAAUAAAAGAUGACCUUUGGUCCUUUUGUUGGUUUAAGACCAUCGGUAAUGAUGAAAGGAGUAGGUUCGGGACACUAGUAUUUACUCGCUAGAGGUGAAAUUCUUGGAUUGAGUAAAGACUAUCUACAGCGAAAGCAUUUGUCAGGGACCUUCUCGUCGAUCAAGGACGAAAGUUGGGGGAUCGAAGAUGAUUAGAUACCGUCGUAGUCCCAACAGUAAACGAUGCCAACCAAGAGUUGGUGGACAUUUAUAAAUCAUCAUCUCUCCCGAGAAAUCUUAAGUUUUUAGGUUCUUGGGGGAGUAUGGUCGCAAGGCUGAAACUUAAAGGAAUUGACGGAAGGGCACCACAAGGAGUGGAGCUUGCGGCUUAAUUUGACUCAACACGGGACAACUUACCUAGUCCAGACAUAGUGAGGAUUGACAGAUUAAAGGAUCUUUCUUGAUUCUAUGGGUGGUGGUGCAUGGCCGUUCUUAGUUCGUGGACUGAUCUGUCUAGUUAAUUCUGAUAACGAGCGAGACCUUCGUCUAUUAAUUAGGGUUGCGUACCUUUUGGUAUGAUUCAUCCUUCUUAGAGGGACACUUGAUGGUUCAAAAUAAUCAAUGGAAGUUGAAGGCAAUAACAGGUCUGUGAUGCCCUUAGAUGUCUAGGGCGGCACGCGUGCUACACUGAUAGUAACAACGAGUAUUUGUCAUUUAUGGCAUAGCCUGUGCCGUGAGGUAUGGGGAAACUCUCAAUUGCUAUCGUGAUGGGGAUAGUCCAUUGCAAUUCUUGGACUUGAACGAGGAAUUCCUAGUAAUCGUAUAUCAUCAGUAUGCGUUGAUUACGUCCCUGCCCUUUGUACACACCGCCCGUCGCUACUACCGAUUGAAUGUGUUAGUGAGGAUUUCGGAAUGUCGAAGCUAAACACUUCCAUGGGGUCUGUCUUAAUUGGGUACCUGACAAAAGAAGUUAUCCAAACUUGCACAUUUAGAGGAAGUAAAAGUCGUAACAAGGU